AGUGAACGCUGGCGGUAGGCCUAACACAUGCAAGUCGAACGGCAGCACAGUAAGAGCUUGCUCUUACGGGUGGCGAGUGGCGGACGGGUGAGGAAUACAUCGGAAUCUACUUUUUCGUGGGGGAUAACGUAGGGAAACUUACGCUAAUACCGCAUACGACCUACGGGUGAAAGCAGGGGAUCUUCGGACCUUGCGCGAUUGCAUGAGCCGAUGUCGGAUUAGCUAGUUGGCGGGGUAAAGGCCCACCAAGGCGACGAUCCGUAGCUGGUCUGAGAGGAUGAUCAGCCACACUGGAACUGAGACACGGUCCAGACUCCUACGGGAGGCAGCAGUGGGGAAUAUUGGACAUUGGGCGCAAGCCUGCUCCAGCCAUACCGCGUGGGUGAAGAAGGCCUUCGGGUUGUAAAGCCCUUUUGUUGGGAAAGAAAAGCAGCAAGUUAAUACCCCGCUGUUCUGACGGUACCCAAAGAAUAAGCACCGGCUAACUUCGUG
rnacentral:rRNA from 1 species